rnacentral:rRNA from 1 species
GAUGAACGCUGGCGGCGUGCCUAAUACAUGCAAGUCGAGCGGACGGACGAGAAGCUUGCUUCUCUUAUGUUAGCGGCGGACGUGUGAGUAACACGUGGAUAACCUACCUAUAAGACUGGGAUCACUUCGGGAAACCGUAGCUAAUACCGGAUAAUAUUUUGAACCGCAUGGUUCAAAAGUGAAAGUCGGUCUUGCUGUCACUUAUAGAUGGAUCCGCGCUGCAUUAGCUAGUUGGUAAGGUAACGGCUUACCAAGGCAACGAUGCAUAGCUGACCUGAGAGGAUGAUCGGCCACACUGGAACUGAGACACGGUCCAGACUCCUACGGGAGGCAGCAGUAGGGAAUCUUCCGCAAUGGGCGAAAGCCUGACGGAGCAACGCCGCGUGAGUGAUGAAGGUCUUCGGAUCGUAAAACUCUGUUAUUAGGGAAGAACAUAUGUGUACGUAACUGUGCACAUCUUGACGGUACCUAAUCAGAAAGCAACGGCUAACUACGUG